AUACAUAAGAACCUAGGAAACUUAUGCAUUCUCUGGAAAAUGGAAGAAACAGUAAUGGUUUGUAUUAUGCUAGUCAUUGGGAUUGUAGAUAUGGUACAAAGACAGAGGUAAACAUUAUCUUUGCCCAACAUGCUUCACUACUGUUGAGAAGCUACUUUGCAUUUUACAUUUUUGAUCUUUCUGGUUUAUAUUCUGUUUGCCUUCCUCUGUCUUACCAUUAUCUCUUACCACUUAUUCAGAGUUCCUCCUUUGUUUUAUCUUUUGUUCGCACUCUUUUUCUCCUUUUCCACUGCCAGACUUCCUUUACAUCUUUUCCUCUUUUCUCUUCUCCCUUUGGCAGUAGUUUAAAUACAGCUGUUACAACUAGUCCAGAAUCAGUCCUACAGAAUAGCUUCUUCUAAAGUGUAGUCUUAGUGAGAAAAAUAACUGGUUAGAGUAACAUAUUUGUGUGCCAUAUUUAUACUACUGAUCAGAUAUAUAACAAAACACAAUUUUUCAUCUAAUUCUGCCAAAAAUCUGAAAUUGCACAGAGUUCCUUUUCCCCUUGUCUUACCACCUGCAGUAACAAAUACUUUGCAGUCAGAAUUUAGCAAACAAAAGUGAUGCUGGUUAUGCAUAAGGUGCAGCAAAAUCAAGCCCAGUUUUCCAGUGCUGAAACUCCUCUGUAGUGCCCACAGCAGUAGAAACUUGCCUUAAGAGAAUAAGCCAGAGAGAUAGGAAUCAUAGGCCUAAAAACAUCAGCUAUACUGAGCUAGGAAGCAUUGUUUUUAGAGCCAAGACCCAAUUCAGAAACUCACUGUUACUUAAAAUUCUGGUGUGAAUAUGUGUAAUCAAACCCUAACUUCCGAAGAGCAGAAUUUUGUAUUUGUGGUGAUUUGCUUUUGUUUUUAUUGCAGCACUCAACUAUCCCAGUCUGGACUAGGAGCUCAUUGUCUUGCUGUUGUGUAAAUAUGUGGUAAGAUGCAGACCUUCUCCCAGAAUCAGGAGUCCUAAAAGAUUAAAGAAAAUGACAGACAAGGGAUAGUGGACACAAUCAUCAUUCUCUGCUUUAAAACUUGGCUACCAUGGAGACAGAAUCAACUCUCGCCUUGGGAAAGGAGGAGAUUUGUGACUUGGGACCCCAAGCGAGCGGAGGCUCUCGGUCACAGCUGUGCUGACAGUGCCUGUGUUCGAGCAUGGGCCAAAGCUUCAGGCACAGGCUGGUGCCUAGCAAAAACCGUCACCUGUCUGCUGGCUGCUCACCUCCCCUUUAUGAGGCCAAUGGACCACAGGCGCCAAGCACAAAGGGUGAAGAGGACCCACCCACCACCAGACGGGAGCCCCCACCGCCGAGACUCCCAAAGGAAGAGGACCAACGGGACACCGCUGGAUCCACGGCGUCCAGCUCCCUGCAAAGUACCAGUGCGCAGAAUAAAGGGGAGCUCCAGGGGAACUUCAAAAGCUAUCUGCAAAGGAGAAGGAAGACACUGAAGAAUUCACUCAAGUCGAACUCUGUGCCCCAAAUUACUUGCUGGGUGGAAAUGUUUGUAGGUGUGGGGCAAAAGGAAGACAGUAUUCCCUGCAGCUACACUUCCCAGUGCAGCCUAAGCCUUGUGUAGCAUGGUGAAGGAGUGAUAUUAUGCAGGUUCCUCUAAACCCCAUCACAGCUGUGCUCAGCUGGGAUUUGUAAUAUAUCUGCAUUUAUGCUCAGGUACCAGAGGUGGAAGUGUUCACGUGUGUGGAGGUGAGUGCAGUGCCAAAACCUAGAAGGACUUGUUCUAUGGCGUGUAUUGGGACUCUACCAAGCCAUGACUGCAUUUUCAAUUUGUCUUAAAAAGCUGGGCAUUGCCUCGUGGUUUGCUAUUAAUGGUAAACAAAAUAAUUCCCAGAAUUAAUAAGUUUCUUAUAAUUUGAUGCAGGGUCACAUAGCAAGUAAUUCUUUGGACUAAAAUAACCUGGAUACAAUGAAAUGUUCUAUUUAUUACAAUGGGGCCACAUAUGCAUUCAGAGGUUGUUCAAUUCUUAUUCUAAGAGAGCACAGAGGCUGGCCAGAGAAUAACUGUCCUCUCAAGCCAGAGUAAAUCCAGACUUUGACAGUCAGCACAUUUUAGAUUUUAAACAUUCCAUUAUAAAUCUUCCAAACCCAAACAAGGCUGGGAAAUCACAUAACAAAAAAUGAACUUUUAAUGCACAUUAUGUAUUUUCUUCAGAGAAAGGAGAUCUCAUAAAAUAAUGCCAAUAGUUGAAUGGUAUUGGCUUUUGGCUAAACAUGUGCCCUUUUAUGGGUGGAUGCAACUACCAUUAUGUCUUCUUCUGUCCAUUUACUUUUCAGAACAAAAUAAUAGCAAAGCACAGCGCAGAUGGCCCAACAUCCUCCAAUGCACUUAAUCCUAGGCAAAAAUCCAGGAGGCCAUUUAGAAAACGACAGGAAAGUUUUGUUCACAUUGUAGAGUCUUGGAGGAGUGCAAAUAGUGCUGUACUUUAAUUUUUUUUAAAAUAGAGAAAUUGAUUUAAAAAGAAAUAUCAUUGAAUUUGGAGAAGGUUCAGUACUAUAUUAAAAUCAGCAUUAGAAACCAGGCAUUAGCUUUGGGGAACAAAUUAUCUGACUGUCCUUUAAACUACCUCUGUAAGCAAGGACAGGUAUAGGAGAGACACAGCAUCUAUCCAAACAAGAUUGUUUUUCUUGUCUGUUGAGCAAUGAGUUUUGUAGCAUGGGGAAAAUGAAUCAGCUUUUGGCAUUUACGUGUUACAGCUAUACUAGCAAAACAGUAACAAUAAUGCAGCCAUCAAUAUUUACAAAAUUAGGUAACAAUGAAAAAGGAGACUCUCCUGUCAGGAUUCUCACCAAACUCCUGAAAAUGCCAUUGCAUCUUAGAAAAAUAAUCAUCACUUGCAACUGAUACCUAGCCGUUUACCUAACAAAUGGGGCCCAGCAGGGCAGUGGUAUGGGGAUGCUGGGACGCAUCCCCAUGCGACGCUCGGAGAGGACUAGUGAGGAUACAGGAAUGACGACUAGCGCUGCAGUCAGCAGAGAUAACCACUGCCAAUUCCCUGUGUGUAAAACAAACAGAAAACUCAUCCUGUUCCUCUUGCCUCUCAGCAGUCGCUUCCUAUUUUUAAACUGGGUUUUGUUGCUGACUACAAAAGAAUGCAGUAAUAAACUGAAAUGACAAAAUUC